rnacentral:rRNA from 1 species
GCCAAAAAUCUAGCCCCCCCCCCCCAUAGUCUUAUGAAAACCCCCAUCCUAAUUUUCUUUAACUAAAACAUUUUUUCAUCUUAGUAAAGGCGAUUAAAAAAUUACUAGGAGCUAUAUAAAUAGUACCGCAAGGGAAAGAUGAAAUAAAAAUGAAAUAAAUUUCAAGCGUCUCACAGUAGAGAUUAACCCUCGUACCUUUUGCAUCAUGGUUUAACUAGUCUAAUCAAGCAAAACGAUUUUUAGUCUGAUUUCCCGAAACUAGGUGAGCUACUUCAAGACAGCUUAUUGAGCAAACCCGUCUCUGUUGCAAAAGGGUGGGAAGAUCUUCAAGUAGGGGUGAUAGACCUAACGAACCUAGUGAUAGCUGGUUACUCGAGAAAAGGAUUUUAGUCCAACCUAAAGACUUCCCAAUGUCUUAAAAUAACGAAACUACUUUAGAGCUAUUCAAAUAAGGUACAGCCUAUUUGAAACAGGAUACAACCUAAACCGAAGGGUAACUAAUUUUUUAACAACUAAGUAGGCUUAAAAGCAGCCACCUUUAAAAAAGCGUCAAAGCUUUAUUGUGGGCCACAUUAAUACCACUCAUUUUUCAGAACCCUCCCCCACUAUCGAGUAUUUCUAUAUUUUUAUAGAAUAUUUUAUGUUAAAACUAGUAACAAGAAGAAGACCUUCUCUUUAAUACAGGUGUAAAUCAGUAAGGACUAACCGCUGUCUAUUAACAUUCAUGAGAAUAAAUUAGAAACCCAACAAGAAAAACCUAGUUUAUUUUAUGUUAAUCUAACACAAGAGUAUUACAAGAAAGAUUGAAAGAAAAAGAAGGAACUCGGCAAAUAUUAACCCCGCCUGUUUAUCAAAAACAUCGCCUCUUGAUUAACUAUAAGAGGUCCAGCCUGCCCAGUGACCCUGUUUAACGGCCGCGGUAUCCUAACCGUGCGAAGGUAGCGUAAUCACUUGUUCUUUAAAUGAGGACUAGUAUGAAUGGCACCACGAAGGUUAUACUGUCUCCUUUUUCUGAUCAGUGAAACUAAUCUCCCCGUGAAGAAGCGGGGAUACCCCUAUAAGACGAGAAGACCCUAUGGAGCUUUAAACUAAAUUACAAUUGCUUUACUUAAUAUAUAUUUUUAAUAAUCAAUACUUAUUUUAGCUCUAUGGUUUUUAGUUUUAGGUUGGGGUGACCGCGGAGCAAAAUAUAACCUCCACAUUGAAUGGGAUUUUAUCCCUGAGCCGUGAGCCACGACUCUAUGCACCAACAUAUUGACAUCAAUUGACCCAAUAUUUUGAUCAACGAACCAAGUUACCCUAGGGAUAACAGCGCAAUCCUCUUCAAGAGCCCCUAUCGCCAAGAGGGUUUACGACCUCGAUGUUGGAUCAGGGUGUCCCAGUGGUGCAGCCGCUACUAAAGGUUCGUUUGUUCAACGAUUAAAACCCU